GACGAACGCUGGCGGCGUGCUUAACACAUGCAAGUCGAACGGAAAGGCCCUGCUUGCAGGGUACUCGAGUGGCGAACGGGUGAGUAACACGUGGGUGAUCUGCCCUGCACUUCGGGAUAAGCCUGGGAAACUGGGUCUAAUACCGGAUAGGAGCCAUUUUUAGUGUGAUGGUUGGAAAGUUUUUUCGGUGUAGGAUGAGCUCGCGGCCUAUCAGCUUGUUGGUGGGGUAAUGGCCUACCAAGGCGGCGACGGGUAGCCGGCCUGAGUGGGUGGACGGCCACAUUGGGACUGAGGUACGGCCCAGACUCCUACGGGAGGCAGCAGUGGGGAAUAUUGCACAAUGGGCGCAAGCCUGGUGCAGCGACGCCGCGUGGGGGAUGACGGCCUUCGGGUUGUAAACUCCUUUCGCUAGGGACGAAGCUUUUUGUGACGGUACCUAGAUAAGAAGCACCGGCUAACUACGUG
rnacentral:rRNA from 1 species